UACGAAGGGGGCUAGCGUUGUUCGGAUUUUCUGGGCGUAAAGCGCAUGUAGGCGGGUCGUUAAGAUGGGGGUGAAAUCCCGAGGCUCAACCUCGGAACUGCCUUCAAAACUGGCGAUCUGGAGCAAGAUAGAGGCAAGUGGAAUUGCGAGUGUAGAGGUGAAAUUCGUAGAUAUUCGCAGGAACACCAGUGGCGAAGGCGACUUGCUGGAUCUUUGCUGACGCUGAGAUGCGAAAGCGUGGGGAGCAAACAGG
rnacentral:rRNA from 1 species